UACGGAAGGCAGCAGUGGGGAGUAUUGCACAAUGGGCGCAAGCCUGAUGCAGCCAUGCCGCGUGUAUGAAGAAGGCCUUCGGGUUGUAAAGUACUUUCAGUCGUGAGGAAGGUGUUAAGGUUAAUAACCUUAGCAAUUGACGUUAGCGACAGAAGAAGCACCGGCUAACUCCGUGCCAGCAGCCGCGGUAAUACGGAGGGUGCGAGCGUUAAUCGGAAUUACUGGGCGUAAAGGGCACGCAGGCGGUUAAUUAAGUUGGAUGUGAAAUCCCCGGGCUUAACCUGGGAAUGGCAUUCAAGACUGGUUAGCUAGAGUCUUGUAGAGGGGGUAGAAUUCCGAUGUGUAGCGGUGAAAUGCGUAGAGAUGUGGAGGAAUACCGGUGGCGAAGGCGGCCCCUGGACAAAGACUGACGCUCAUGUGCGAAAGCGUGGGGAGCAAACAGGGAUUAGAUACC
rnacentral:rRNA from 1 species